rnacentral:rRNA from 1 species
GACGAACGCUGGCGGCGUGCUUAACACAUGCAAGUCGAACGAUGAACCCGGAGCUUGCUCUGGGGGAUUAGUGGCGAACGGGUGAGUAACACGUGAGUAACCUGCCCUGGACUCUGGGAUAAGUGUUGGAAACGACGUCUAAUACCGGAUAGGACCUUGUAUCGCAUGAUCUGGGGUGGAAAGUUUUUUCGGUCUGGGAUGGACUCGCGGCCUAUCAGCUUGUUGGUGAGGUAAUGGCUCACCAAGGCGUCGACGGGUAGCCGGCCUGAGAGGGUGACCGGCCAGACUGGGAGUGAGACACGGGCCGGACACCUACGGGAGGCAGCAAGGGGGAGUAUAGCACAAUGAGCGAAAGCAUGAUGCAGCAACGAAGCGUGCGGGAUGGAGGCCUUCGGGUUGUAAACCGCUUUUAGUAGGGAAGAAGGGCUCGGGCUUGACGGUACCUGCAGAAAAAGGACCGGCUAACUACGUG